rnacentral:tRNA from 1 species
GUUUUAAUAGUUUAAAAAAAACGAUGAUCUUGUAAAUCAUAAAUAGAAUUAAUCUUUAAAACU